GACGAACGCUGGCGGCGUGCCUAAUACAUGCAAGUAGAACGCUGAAGAGAGGAGCUUACUCUUCUUGGAUGAGAUGCGAACGGGUGAGUAACGCGUAGGUAACCUGCCUUGUAGCGGGGGAUAACUAUUGGAAACGAUAGCUAAUACCGCAUAACAAUGGAUGACACAUGUCAUUUAUUUGAAAGGGGCAAUUGCUCCACUACAAGAUGGACCUGCGUUGUAUUAGCUAGUAGGUGAGGUAAUGGCUCACCUAGGCGACGAUACAUAGCCGACCUGAGAGGGUGAUCGGCCACACUGGGACUGAGACACGGCCCAGACUCCUACGGGAGGCAGCAGUAGGGAAUCUUCGGCAAUGGGGGCAACCCUGACCGAGCAACGCCGCGUGAGUGAAGAAGGUUUUCGGAUCGUAAAGCUCUGUUGUAAGUCAAGAACGGGUGUGAGAGUGGAAAGUUCACACUGUGACGGUAGCUUACCAGAAAGGGACGGCUAGCUACGUG
rnacentral:rRNA from 1 species